GAUAAACGCCAGCGGCAGGCUUAACACAUGCAAGUCGAGGGGCAGCAUAGAUUGUAGCAAUACAAUUGGUGGCGACCGGCGCACGGGUGCGUAACGCGUAUGCAACCUACCCGUCACAGGGGGAUAAUCCGGAGAAAUCUGGUCUAAUACCCCAUAACAUAUGGAUCGGCAUCGGUUCAUGUUGAAAUUUUCGGAGGUGACGGAUGGGCAUGCGUAGCAUUAGCUUGUUGGUGAGGUAACGGCUCACCAAGGCGACGAUGCUUAGGGGGACUGAGAGGUUUUCCCCCCACACUGGGACUGAGACCCGGACCGGACUCCUACGGGAGGCAGCAGUGAGGAAUAUUGGUCAAUGGGCGCAAGCCUGAACCAGCCAUGCCGCGUGCAGGAUGACGGCUCUAUGAGUUGUAAACUGCUUUUGUACGAGGGUAAAGUGGGUUACGUGUAACCUUUUGAAAGUAUCGUACGAAUAAGGAUCGGCUAACUCCGUGCCAGCCGCCGCGGUAA
rnacentral:rRNA from 1 species